rnacentral:rRNA from 1 species
UACGUAGGGGGCUAGCGUUGUCCGGAUUUAUUGGGCGUAAAGAGCGUGUAGGCGGCCUGGUAGGUCUGCUGUGAAAACUCGAGGCUCAACCUCGAGAUGUCGGCGGAAACCAUCUGGCUAGAGUCCGGAAGAGGAGAGUGGAAUUCCUGGUGUAGCGGUGAAAUGCGCAGAUAUCAGGAAGAACACCUAUGGCGAAGGCAGCUCUCUGGGACGUUACUGACGCUGAGACGCGAAAGCGUGGGGAGCAAACAGG